rnacentral:rRNA from 1 species
UGCGCAGGUGGUCGGGUAAGUCUGAUGUGAAAUCCCGCAGCUUAACUGCGGAAUGGCAUUGGAUACUAUUCGGCUAGAGGGUUGGAGGGGGGACUGGAAUUUUCGGUGUAGCAGUGAAAUGCGUAGAUAUCGAGAGGAACACCAGUGGCGAAGGCGAGUCCCUGGACAACUCCUGACGCUGAGGCACGAAAGCUAGGGGAGCAAACA